rnacentral:rRNA from 1 species
UUAAAUUGAAGAGUUUGAUCAUGGCUCAGAUUGAACGCUGGCGGCAGGCCUAACACAUGCAAGUCGAACGGUAACAGGAAACAGCUUGCUGUUUCGCUGACGAGUGGCGGACGGGUGAGUAAUGUCUGGGAAACUGCCYGAUGGAGGGGGAUAACUACUGGAAACGGUAGCUAAUACCGCAUAACGUCGCAAGACCAAAGAGGGGGACCUUMGGGCCUCUUGCCAUCGGAUGUGCCCAGAUGGGAUUAGCUAGUAGGUGGGGUAAWGGCUCACCUAGGCGACGAUCCCUAGCUGGUCUGAGAGGAUGACCAGCCACACUGGAACUGAGACACGGUCCAGACUCCUACGGGAGGCAGCAGUGGGGAAUAUUGCACAAUGGGCGCAAGCCUUGGAACUGAGACACGGUCCAGACUCCUACGGGAGGCAGCAGUGGGGAAUAUUGCACAAUGGGCGCAAGCCU